UACAGAGGUCCCAAGCGUUGUUCGGAUUCACUGGGCGUAAAGGGUGCGCAGGUGGCUGGGUAAGUUUGAUGUGAAAGCCCCGGGCUUAACCCGGGAACGGCAUUGAAUACUAUUCGGCUGGAGGAUUGGAGGGGGACUGGAAUUCUUGGUGUAGCAGUGAAAUGCGUAGAUAUCAAGAGGAACACCAGUGGCGAAGGCGAGUCCCUGGACAAUUCCUGACACUGAGGCACGAAAGCCAAGGGAGCAAACAGG
rnacentral:rRNA from 1 species